UCUAGAGCUGAAAGACUUAGUAUGGACUUCC
rnacentral:piRNA from 1 species